rnacentral:lncRNA from 1 species
UAUUGACUAUAUAUUGACCUCUACAUAUUUCCUUGCUUCUUAUAGUUCUUGCUUUGUUGGGUUGCGUUCUCAUCGAUAUAUACUGUUGAAAUAUUGCGGGAGUUAUAAUGUUGUGUUGUACCUGUUUAAUAUAGGGUUGAUAUCAGUGUGAUGUACACAAUGUAGCCUUAGCACUCAUUUUUUUCUAUCCUUUACCCAAAGUUCACACAUAAGUUUAACCUUUCUAUUUCAUUUGUAUUUUUUAAGAAAAAUAAUUUUGCAAUGAUGUCAUGUUCGUGUGUGUCUCAUCUACUAUAAAAUAUUGGUCUUGGGUAUUAUAUGAAUGUUGAAACUAUUUAGUUGAUUAUCUCCCCUUAUAGAGUUUGAAUAUUUUACAUUCGAAACAAAUUUCAGUAUUAAAAUGAUCCUAUAUAGUUCACAUAUGAUGUACUUACCUAUAACAACAGCCUGCCUGGACAGGGAUCAAAUCCACUGGACAAGGAUCAACUUGACUGGACAGGGA